CCAGUCGGCCGGGCGGCCGCGCGCGCAAUCGUCGAAAGGCGGCGCGCGAGGAAAGUCCGGGCUCCACGGAAAGACGGUGCCGGACAAGCUCCGGCGAGGGCGACCUCAGGGAAAGUGCCACAGAAAGCAGACCGCCCCGCUUUCAGAGCGGCCGCCAGGCCGCUGUGAUGGCGGGGUAAGGGUGAAAGGGUGGGGUAAGAGCCCACCGCGCUGCCGGAAACGGGAGCGGCACGGCAAACCCCACCGGGAGCAAGACCGAAUAGGGACGGCGCGAAGGGCGACCUUCAGGCUCUUUCCGGCCGAGCCGUCCGGGUUGGUUGCACGAGGCGGGCAGCGAUGCCCGUCCCAGAGGAAUGGCCGCCACGUUCCGCCGCCUCCGGGCUGCGGGGCCAUACAGAACCCGGCUUACAGGCCGACUGGCACU
rnacentral:RNase_P_RNA from 3 species